rnacentral:rRNA from 1 species
GUUGAACGCUGGCGGCGUGCCUAAUACAUGCAAGUCGAGCGACCGGACGAGUAGUUUGAUUCUCUGAUGUUUGCGGCGGACGGGUGAGUAACAUGUGGAUAACUCAUCUAUAAGACUGGGAUAACUCCGGGAAACCGGUGCUAACACAGGCUAAUAUCUUGAACCGCCUGGUUCCAUAGUGAAAGACCGUCUUGCUGUUACCUAUUGAUGGAUCCGCGCUGCAUUAGCUAGUUGGUAGGGUAACGGCUUACCAAGGCAACGAUGAGUAGCCGACCUGAGAGGAUGAUCGGCCACACUGGAACUGAGACACGGUCCAGACUCCUACGGGAGGCAGCAGUGGGGAAUCUUCCGCAAUGGGCGAAAGCCUGACGGAGCAACGCCGCGUGUGUGAAGAAGGUCUUCGGGUCGUAAAACUCUGUUAUUAGGGAAGAACAUAUGUGUAAGAAACUGUGCACAGCAUGACGGUACCGAAACAAAAAGCCACGGCUAACUACGUG